rnacentral:rRNA from 1 species
AAUGAACGCUGGCGGCAUGCCUAACACAUGCAAGUCGAACGAAGGCUUCGGCCUUAGUGGCGCACGGGUGCGUAACGCGUGGGAAUCUGCCCUUGGGUUCGGAAUAACAGUUAGAAAUGACUGCUAAUACCGGAUGAUGUCGUAAGACCAAAGAUUUAUCGCCCAAGGAUGAGCCCGCGUAGGAUUAGCUAGUUGGUGAGGUAAAAGCUCACCAAGGCGACGAUCCUUAGCUGGUCUGAGAGGAUGAUCAGCCACACUGGGACUGAGACACGGCCCAGACUCCUACGGGAGGCAGCAGUGGGGAAUAUUGGACAAUGGGCGAAAGCCUGAUCCAGCAAUGCCGCGUGAGUGAUGAAGGCCUUAGGGUUGUAAAGCUCUUUUACCCGGGAUGAUAAUGACAGUACCGGGAGAAUAAGCUCCGGCUAACUUCGUGCCAGCAGCCGCGGUAAUACGAGGGGAGCUAGCGUUAUUCGGAAUUACUGGGCGUAAAGCGCACGUAGGCGGCUUUGUAAGUUAGAGGUGAAAGCCCGGGGCUCAACUCCGGAAUUACCUUUAAGACUGCAUCGCUUGAAUCCAGGAGAGGUGAGUGGAAUUCCGAGUGUAGAGGUGAAAUUCGUAGAUAUUCGGAAGAACACCAGUGGCGAAGGCGGCUCACUGGACUGGUAUUGACGCUGAGGUGCGAAAGCGUGGGGAGCAAACAGG